UAAUACGUAGGUGGCAAGCGUUGUCCGGAUUUACUGGGCGUAAAGGGCGCGCAGGCGGCCUAUCAAGCCCGGGGUGAAAGCUCCCGGCUCAACCGGGAGAGGUCUUCGGAUACUGAUAGGCUUGAGGGGAGCAGAGGAGAGCGGAAUUCCCGGUGUAGCGGUGAUAUGCGUAGAUAUCGGGAGGAACACCAGUGGCGAAGGCGGCUCUCUGGGCUCUCCCUGACGCUGAGGCGCGAAAGCGUGGGGAGCAAACCGGAUUAGAUACCCGGGUAGUCCACGCUGUAAACGUUGGGCACUAGGUGUGGGAGGUAUUGACCCCUUCCGUGCCGUAGUUAACGCGAUAAGUGCCCCGCCUGGGGAGUACGGCCGCAAGGCUA
rnacentral:rRNA from 1 species